AGUGAACGCUGGCGGUAGGCCUAACACAUGCAAGUCGAACGGCAGCACAGUAAGAGCUUGCUCUUACGGGUGGCGAGUGGCGGACGGGUGAGGAAUACAUCGGAAUCUACUUUUUCGUGGGGGAUAACGUAGGGAAACUUACGCUAAUACCGCAUACGACCUACGGGUGAAAGCAGGGGAUCUUCGGACCUUGCGCGAUUGAAUGAGCCGAUGUCGGAUUAGCUAGUUGGCGGGGUAAAGGCCCACCAAGGCGACGAUCCGUAGCUGGUCUGAGAGGAUGACAGCCCCCCCUGGAAGGGAACCCCGGACCAGCCUCCUGCGGGAGGAACCAGGGGGGAAUAUUGGACAAUGGGGGCAAGCUUUACCCAGCAAUCCCGGGUGGGUGAAGAAGCCCUUCGGUUUGUAAAGCCUUUUUGUUGGGAAAAAAAAGCAGCAGGUUAAUCCCCCGCUGUUCUGACGGUACCAAAAAAAUAAGCACCGCCUAACUUCGUG
rnacentral:rRNA from 1 species